GGAUGAUGUCCCAUCCCAACCUUGGACCUUCUUCAUCACUAUGCAUUCCUGACUGCUGGGAAUACUUCAGUGCUGGUGCUACUGGCAAGAACUUGAGGCAAAGAAGGCACGUCAGUUUUCUUGUGGUUAUAGCUUCCUACUAGAGAGCCUGAAAAACUGUCUGGUGGCAGUCCUUCAAAGCCUGCUAGCUUCCUAAGGCUGUGAGCAGACAUAAUUUGUUGACAGCUCCAAAGGGCCACCCUUCUCUGCUCUCUGCAGGCCAAACUAAUUUUUGAAUAAUUUCUUGUUACACGGCUAGGAGUAUGACACCACUUCACUGUUUGAACAAUCAUUCUAAAGACUGAGAAGACGCUAUGGCUAGCUAUCUCAAUGUGCAAGC
rnacentral:lncRNA from 1 species